GACGAACGCUGGCGGCGUGCUUAACACAUGCAAGUCGAACGGAAAGGCCCUGCUUUUGUGGGGUGCUCGAGUGGCGAACGGGUGAGUAACACGUGAGUAACCUGCCCUUGACUUUGGGAUAACUUCAGGAAACUGGGGCUAAUACCGGAUAGGAGCUCCUGCUGCAUGGUGGGGGUUGGAAAGUUUCGGCGGUUGGGGAUGGACUCGCGGCUUAUCAGCUUGUUGGUGGGGUAGUGGCUUACCAAGGCUUUGACGGGUAGCCGGCCUGAGAGGGUGACCGGGCACAUUGGGACUGAGCUACGGCCCAGACUCCUACGGGAGGCAGCAGUGGGGAGUAUUGCACAAUGGGCGGAAGGCUGAGGCAGCAACGCCGCGUGCGGGAUGGGGGCCUUCGGGUUGUAAACCGAUUUGGCCUGUGACGAAACGUGAGUGACGGUAAUGGGUAAAGAAGCACCGGCUAACUACGUG
rnacentral:rRNA from 1 species